GAUGAACGCUGGCGGCGUGCCUAAUACAUGCAAGUCGAGCGAACAGACGAGGAGCUUGCUCCUCUGACGUUAGCGGCGGACGGGUGAGUAACACGUGGAUAACCUACCUAUAAGACUGGGAUAACUUCGGGAAACCGGAGCUAAUACCGGAUAACAUGUUGAACCGCAUGGUUCAACAGUGAAAGACGGUCUUGCUGUCACUUAUAGAUGGAUCCGCGCCGCAUUAGCUAGUUGGUAAGGUAACGGCUUACCAAGGCAACGAUGCGUAGCCGACCUGAGAGGGUGAUCGGCCACACUGGAACUGCGACACGGUCCAGACUCCUACGGGAGGCAGCAGUAGGGAAUCUUCCGCAAUGGGCGAAAGCCUGACGGAGCAACGCCGCGUGAGUGAUGAAGGUCUUCGGAUCGUAAAACUCUGUUAUUAGGGAAGAACAAAUGUGUAAGUAACUAUGCACGUCUUGACGGUACCUAAUCAGAAAGCCACGGCUAACUACGUG
rnacentral:rRNA from 1 species